AGAAAGCCUGUACUGCUAGCCGGGCGUCCGAAUCAACUAAUGGCUCAUCGUGAUGGUGGGGUGAGGGCAAGCUCAUUUAAGUUUGGAAGGAGGCAGCAGCUGCCGUGAUUGGGUGCAAAUCUCUCACGGUUUCCUCAGCGCGGGGCACCUGCGGAGUGCAACGGCUGCGCCGUGCUCCGGCUGCUCACGUGCUCGGGUCACUUCUCAGCGAGGCGCGCAGCUGCACGGUCGGGCUCAGAAGUACCACUUGUGAAAUCUCACAAAGUUUUCCCUCCGUAUUUGUUCUGUGAAGCAGUUCUUAACCUGUGAGAGUGAGCCUCCUGGCAUCUCUGUCAGCCUUUACUGGAGAAAAGCACCUUGGGCACUCGGUGGGAGUUGUGUUGGUGUGUGCUGCGAGGAGGACGCCCGGGGGCUGACCGGAGGGCAUGGCUGGAAGCUGCUGCUGCAGAGCUGGUACCUGUCUGUUCUGCACUGCUGGGCCCAGGAGUUUCGUUUUCUGAGAACAGUAGAAAUACAGUCCUCAGCUGUACAGUUUCGCAGUCGUGUUCUGCACCUGAAUAAACUACCCUUCAUAUUAGAAUAUCUGUCACACGCAGCUAGAAAGGAAUAUUUGCCUCUCGGAUGGCAGCAGAAUCUAAG
ensembl:lncRNA